rnacentral:rRNA from 1 species
UACGUAGGGGGCUAGCGUUAUCCGGAUUUAUUGGGUUUAAAGGGUGCGCAGGUGGUUUAGUAAGUCAGUGGUGAAAGUCUGCCGCUUAACGGUAGGAUUGCCAUUGAUACUGUUGGACUUGAAUAUGGAUGAGGUAGGCGGAAUGUGUAGUGUAGCGGUGAAAUGCUUAGAUAUUACACAGAACACCGAUUGCGAAGGCAGCUUACUAAUCCAUCAUUGACGCUGAGGCACGAAAGCGUGGGGAUCAAACAGGAUUAGAUA